AAUGGUAAACAUUUUAAUCACGACUGUAAUUGAAAGGUUAAUAUUCAAUUAAAACAUUAUUGAAUUAAUUAAUUUUUUAAUUAAAAAAGAUUAUAUUUACAAUUCAAUUAAAUUUUUAAUUGAAAACUGUUUGUUUUUCUGUGUAACUGUACACGCAUUUAGUAUAGAUUAAAUAUCGGGGAGCCCAGGAUAGCUAUCACUAGCUAGCGGAUGAACAUGUCGGAUCGUAAUUGAGCCCAAACUACUCUGGUCUACCUUAAGUCUUCUUGGCGUGGAAUACCUAUCCACAAGAUGAUGAUUUGGAUGGUCUCUGCGAUAACAGCCCAGAAGGUAUUGCUUGGACAGCAUGUAGUUUUGUCUUCCCACGGCUCCCUAUGCACCUUAUGCGUGUAUGCAGUGAACAAUGUGACUGAAGAUUUGGUGGCAGAAAUCUUAAAAUUUCUUGCAGCGGAAUAAGAGGCAAGUUGGUUGAGGUAGAUGAAUAACCUAUCGCAGAUGUCAACAAUGGGUGAGGGGCCUGAUGCCAUGAUCGUACAACCGUCCGCAAAUGAUACGAUCUCUAUGCCGUCUGGAGGCGGUAGAAUGAAGGAUAGGUAGAGGUUAAACAGUGUCGGAGAUAUAACCCCGCCUUGGAGAACACAUUGUUUCACUCUACGGUGUUUCGAUUUCUUAUCUCUAAAUUUCACAAAUGACUGGCGACCACACAGAUAAUUCGCGACCCAGCGUUUCAGGCCUGGCUGGAGGGACGUGUUGGCUAUUGUGUUUAAAUGUUUUAUUCAAACUGAAAAAUAUAUGUACUCUAAUUCAAUUACAGGAAUACAAAAUUGCAAUGACUACUUGAUAGAUUAAUAAAACUAAAAGUAGUAAUAUGAGAAA